rnacentral:rRNA from 1 species
UACGUAGGGGGCAAGCGUUGUCCGGAAUUACUGGGCGUAAAGGGCGCGUAGGCGGUUCGUUAAGUCCUGUGUGAAAUCCCCCGGCUCAACUGGGGAACUGCACAGGAAACUAGCGGGCUUGAGUUCGGGAGAGGGAAGCGGAAUUCCGGGUGUAGCGGUGGAAAUGCGUAGAUAUCCGGAGGAACACCGGUGGCGAAGGCGGCUUCCUGGAC